AACGAACGCUGGCGGCAGGCCUAACACAUGCAAGUCGAGCGAGGACUUCGGUCCUAGCGGCGGACGGGUGAGUAACGCGUGGGAACGUGCCCUUUGCUUCGGAAUAGCCCUGGGAAACUGGGAGUAAUACCGGAUGAGCCCUUUGGGGGAAAGAUGUAUCGGCGAAGGAUCGGCCCGCGUUGGAUUAGGUAGUUGGUGGGGUAAUGGCCUACCAAGCCGACGAUCCAUAGCUGGUUUGAGAGGAUGAUCAGCCACACUGGGACUGAGACACGGCCCAGACUCCUACGGGAGGCAGCAGUGGGGAAUCUUAGACAAUGGGGGAAACCCUGAUCUAGCCAUGCCGCGUGAGCGAUGAAGGCCUUAGGGUUGUAAAGCUCUUUCAGCUGGGAAGAUAAUGACGGUACCAGCAGAAGAAGCCCCGGCUAACUCCGUG
rnacentral:rRNA from 1 species